ensembl:lncRNA
GAAUGUUUGAAAUGGAACACCACGUUAAUUCAUAAAAUCUAUAGAGGGAAUUGUAGGAUGGAAUAUUACCUUACCUUCUGACAAUGGAUCACUGUCCAGAAGAGCUACUAGAACAAAACCUUAUGUCACAGGCCUAGAAGAGUAAUACCUUUGAGGCUGGAAAGACGAUUAUGAUAUGCAUGACUGGAGCAUACAGAGGAAGUGUGGCAGUUUGCAGAUCCAAAACACCCAGUGACUUCACUGUGCCCUCGUGUAAAUGUUGAUAAGUGAGGUGUAACUAUUUACAAACUGGAAAAUUGAGAAACCGGUCUGAAGAGUCCUAUAGGCAAUAGGGAAAUGGCCUUCUGGCUUAUGAAAUUAAUGAACAAGCAGAAUGAUUUGUGAAAAACAACUGUUUUAUAGGACCACCACCUGCAGUAUGGGCUGACUCCCACAAUGUGGAAGAAAUCCAGAACAUCAUUUCAGAUUAAUUUCUUGACAUCUCAACUUUGUCCUGCACCCCAUCCACCAACACAGAACAUACUCAAGAGUAACAAAGAUAUUUCUGGUGACACACUGCAGCCAUGGGAAAUUGGAAUGCAAGUCAUGCCAUAUCUACUGACAGCUCAUAAAGUACUCCACAGCAGUGCAGAAGAUGUAUUUUCUAUGCCUGAAGAUCAUGUUAGCUUGGUCCGGGUUUUGCUAAAUAGUACUGAACUUUUGGCUGUUUAUUCCCAACUCUGUGAUGUCAGCUGGCCUCCCUGGAAGCCAGACUCCAAUUGCGGCAACCAUUCUGUACACGCACAUUGCAUGGAAAGAGUUACCUAGUAAUAAAAAAC